UACAAAAGGUUGGCUCUUCAGCUUUUAUGUUAAAUAUGUUAUUUCCUUGUUAACUGUUGUCUGUCAUUAAUAAAGCAAUUAUAAAAAUACACAUAAUGACAACAGAUUUAUCUUUAGAAAUGUUCGCAAAAUUUUUGGUUUGGAUACAAAAAACCAAGUGAAAAUGGAAAGACUGUUUACCGUUUGACUCUUGUCCCAAUCUAACCUAGUGGGUUCAAAAAGAAGGAACCCCGCUGUAAACAUGAAUGGAUUAAAAGGAUCAGCCCUUUUUGAAUUAAUAGUCGAAGUGGUAACCAGCUAGAAGUCGUAACCUGCUCGUAUGAAAGGAUUUCUCGACGUGAAAUUGUUAAUUUUAUUUAACAACGCCAAGAAACAGAGCUCGCUCAAGAAACAGAAAAGAAAGA